rnacentral:misc_RNA from 1 species
AAGUCGUAACAAGGUUUCCGUAGGUGAACCUGCGGAAGGAUCAUUAAAGUGUUUCGGAGCCUGGCUCGGGCAUCUCAACUCGAGGUGUCGGUGUCAGCGCCCCCACACGUGUUUACUCAACUUGGUUGCCUUGGUGAGCCUGCCCUCGUGGCUGCUGGGGAUGCCUCACGGUGUCCCGGGCUCGUGCUCACCAAUGGAACAUUUGAACUCUUAUGUGAAAAUAGUCAGUCUGAGCAUUAUGCAAAUUAAAUAAAACUUUCAACAACGGAUCUCUUGGUUCCG